UACGGAGGGGACUAGCGUUGUCCGGAAUUAUUGGGCGUAAAGAGCUCGUAGGCGGUUUGUCGCGUCUGCUGUGAAAACCCGAGGCUCAACCUCGGGCCUGCAGUGGGUACGGGCAGACUAGAGUGCGGUAGGGGAGAUUGGAAUUCCUGGUGUAGCGGUGGAAUGCGCAGAUAUCAGGAGGAACACCGAUGGCGAAGGCAGAUCUCUGGGCCGUAACUGACGCUGAGGAGCGAAAGCGUGGGGAGCGAACAGG
rnacentral:rRNA from 1 species